CCCAAAGUCCAUUAUCAUUCUUAUGCCUUUGCAUCCUCAUAGCUUAGCUCCCACUUAUAAGUGAGAACACAUGACAUUUGGUUUUCCUUUCCUGAGUUAUUUCACUUAGAAUAAUGGUCUCAAGCUCCAUCCAGGUUGCUGCAAAUGCCAUUAUUUCAUUCUUUUUUAUGGCAGAGUAAUAUUCCAUGGUGUGUGUGUGUUUAUAUAUAGGUAUCUCACAUUUUCUUUAUCCACUCAUUGGUUGAUGGAUAUCUACUAUCUUUAACAGAUGGUUCCAAGGUCAUUGCAAAAGAAGAUGCAAAGAGGAUGGAAAAUUGAAGGUUCCUAUGCCUCAGAAGGCCAUGAGGAAGGACUCUGGAAGAUGUCUGAAUACUAGAAACCCCGAGAGCCAGAAGAAUGCAUUCGUCUGUGGUUCAAGCUAAGUAUGGGUAGUGCCAAGAUGGUUUCUGAUUUGGUCUCCACCACAUACAGUGAUUCCAAAGGGGGGUAAGACAUCCUUCCUCCUGCCCCAGUGUCAGCCCUUUGCAGUCUAUCUCGGUCUGCUUUUCAAGUACCCCUAAUAUCUUGGCACUUCCUCAUGGUGAAAAGUCUCCUUCCUCCCCUUCCUGAACCCAUCCAUGUGCCCAAUGCCCAAAGGACAUUUGGAGGGAUGCACUUAAAAUCAAAUUCGUCCACUGUCUAUUUGUUGAGAUAAGGUGUGGUGACAACAGCAGUCCAAGGGGACUACUAGCAGCCUCAGAAUCCAGCCACCCAGCCCUAGCCUUGUCAGGGCCACUCCUGGGCUGGGCACACUUGUAGGUGGGGAGGGAAGGGCAGCAUUGUCAGAGAAGACAGACCAAGCUGCAGCUGCCCUACUGGGAGGCUGGGAGGCCUGAAUAGCUUCACAGCGCUGGGCCCUGCUUGCUGAAUGGGGGCUUGGCUCCUCCCUGGCGGUGGUCCGGAAUGGAUGACAUUUUCAUUGCAAGCUAACAAGGGGAGAAAUCCAAUUACUUCACAAAGAGGCUCCUGAAGGGGCCUCACAGCCUGGAGAAAGAAGGGGAGGAGAAGAGGGGGAGAGGGAAGGAAGAAGGGGAGUGUGUGUGUGUGUGUGUGUGUGUGUGUGUGUGUGUGUGUGUGUGUGUGUGUGUGUGUAGGGAGGCUCCCACCCAGACCAGGAAAGGAACAAAGCCCUCAGGCCUCCAGGACAUGGCCUCCUGCAUACAGGCAGGGAGAUUGGAACUGGGGGGCUUUUAAUUGAUUUCCAGUGGGUCAGAGGGUCUGCCUGGAAACUCCAGGUCCCUGAGAGCUCCAGGCAAUCAGGCUUCCUCCCUGUGGAACAACCUGAGUGGUGCAGAAGAGGCCCCAGCCCUAUUUCUCUGCCCCAUCAGACUACAGUUUCCCUGACCUGAGUCAUCAAAGGCCCAUUAUACACUUUUUUACCUUUGUUGCAUCCACCUAAACUAUUAAUCCCUUUUUGAAACAUUUAUUUAAAGUGUAUUAUUUAAGCUCAGUAUUUUGGAAGUUUAUAUCCUAACUGCAAAUAGAAAAAGUAGAAGCUAAUUCUAAAUAGAAAUACAAUUCAAAUAGCCCAAUGUUGUUGAACCUCAGGGAGCUGAAAGCCUUGGGCUCUCUGGGGUGGAGGGUGGGAGUGAUGGGAUGGUGGGGUUAGCAAAUGUUUGCAAUCCAGAUUUCUCCCAGGUCUAAUCCAGGAGGAAGAAGAGGAUUGAAAAGGGAACACCUCCCUCCCGCAGCGGUUCAAAAGCUGCUCCAGGCAAGGCUAUGCCUCCAGGUCUUCCACACCUGCCCCCAGGGUAGUGGGUGUGGCGGCUUCACGGCCUUGCUGCCCUUAACUUUGGUUGCCCAACAGCUAGCUUAGUCCUCUCUUUUCCUCUUCCGGAAAAGAGAGGCAAAGUUAGGAACGAUUGAGUACUGGAUAGACCUACUUUCUGUGAGUUGUGGGGUGGUCACUGGAGUCCCAGAAAGUGUGAGAGGCCUGGGGGAGGUGGAAGAUAAUGGCAGUUCCAGGGCCACAAGCGUGUCCAGUCUCCCGCUCUCCCUCCCCUUCGACUCGGGAGGAAGGGCUACAGACCCCAUCUAGGAGGAAAUUAGCAUUCGCUUCCUCUGGCUCAGCCAGAGCAAAUCGGCCUUCAAAAGCCAGCGGCCUGGAGGCCACACAGCGCGCCCCUUUGUGGCUCCCACGCCUUGCCUCACCCUCUCCCCCAGCCGACUGAACUCCCUAGCUCCGAAGAGAGCAAAUGGGAGUCUCCUGAGGCACAAGGACCUGGGGUGGGGUGGGGCAGAUCUUCCUCAAUGCCCUCUCCAAACUGGGGGUCCCGCCUGCUUCUCCUGUCCUGUGGAGGCUUUUUGGUGAGCUUUGGUCCCAAAGGAGUUUAGGCCCCAAGGAUGGCACAGUGCUAGUCCUCACUCCCCCUUUACCCCCGGGAGAUUCAGGCCAAGUGGGAAGGCUGAGGGAGGGGCAGUGCUUGCUAGAGGGCAUGGCUCAGGUUAAGCUCCACCCACUCAGAUUUGUGUCCAAAAGUGGACAAGGACCACCCUGGGCUUUGGGGACUUCCUGCUCCCCUCUGAUCUCCCCAGGCCAUCUCUGUUCUCAGAAUACUGGAGGAGAGGAGGCUACGGAAAUGCGGGUUUCAUCCAGAGACUCAGGGGCACCCCUAAGUCCUCAGCGGGCUCACCGGUCAAGUCAGAUGCCUGGGGAGGGAGGCUGAGGGGAAGGGCUAAGGUGAGGAUGAUCUGCACAGUCGGAGGCAGUCAAAGAAGCUUAAAGAAGGUGAAGCUUAAAUAAUAAUCAUAGCCAACAAAAGCAGGCACCAGGAUUUCCUAAACACCUAAGGGAUUAACUGCUUUACCCUCCACUACUCUAGGAGGUAGCUGAGGCUGGCUAACUUGCUUAAAAAUCCCAGCUAGGCUGGGUGCGGUGGCUCACGCCUGUGAUCCCAGCACUUUGGGAGGCGGAGGCAGGCGAAUCACAAAGUCAGGAGUUCGAGACUAGCCUGGCCAACAUGGUGAAACCUCGUCUCUACUAAGAAUACAAAAAAUUAGCUGGGCGUAGUGGUGGGCACCUGUAAUCCCAGCUACUCGGGAGGCUGAGGCAGGAGAAUUUCUUGAACCCGGGAGGCCAAGGUUGCUGUGAGCUGAGAUCGUGCCACUGCACUCCAGCCCGGGUGACAGAGUGAGACUCUGUCUCAAAAAUAAAACAAAACAAAACAAAGCAAAAAACAAACAAACAAACAAAAAAACCAAACAAACAAAAAUCCCAGCUAGUGGGUGGCCGAGUUUACCUUGUAUUUCCUUGCUAUCUACCCAUUCCUAGUCCGUAUUCUUCACCUCCUUGUGGCAUUUGAUUUUGUUAAGACUCAAUCUUUUGGCUUCCAGAACUCCACUCUCUUCCUGGACUCUUCUAACCUCUCUGAUCAUUCCAUGUGCGUCUUCCUAGGGGCCCACCCAGGGCUUCUGCUGCCAGGGCAGUGUGUGUAUGCACAAACAGAGAGCCUGCGUAGUCUCUAGAUUCCAGAUACUCUCUGGAGUAGUGCAGUUUGGCAGUGUUGACCCUACCCCUUGAAUGUGCCUGGGGUUUAUUCCUUGGCCUUCUCAUCUGUAACCAGACUCAUUGUUUUAACAUUAUCUCUUCCCUGAUGACUCCCAAACUUUUGUCUCUAUCCUUGACAAAUCCCAUGGCCUAUGGGACACAUUCAUCUGGAUAACUCAACUCAAAAACACAAGAGGCCAUCAACUGAACUCAUGCUUCCUCCAAACCUUCUCACACUGGAAUUUCUGUCCUACGCAUCCAAGGUGGAAACUCUUGGGUUCUCAUUGAUUCAACUCUGCCCUGACACCCUCAUCUCCCUUUUCAACCAAACACCUCUCCUGCCCCAUUGUUUUUGCCAACCCAACAUCCAAUCACCAAGGUAAUUCUGCCUUUGAAAUCUCUCCUGCACCUCCCCUCUCCUCAUCUACUAAGUCUCCAUCAUCUCAUACUUUGACUAUUUGACAUAGAUCCCUAACAAAUGUCACUGCUCAGUCUUUCUGCUGCAGACAAAGAGCCCUUCAAACCCAGUCUCACAAAAAUCUCCCUGCUCAAAGAGUUCUGUGAGGCCGGGCACAGUGGCUCACAUCUGUAAUCCCAGCACUUUGGGAGGCUGAGGCAGGAGGAUCACAUGAGGUCAGGAGUUCAAAACCAGCCUGGCCAACAUGGUGAAACCUCAUUAAAAUACAAAAAUAAAAAAUUUAAAUACAUAAUUUAAAUUAAAAAUUAAUUAAAAUACAAAAUUAAAAAUAUAAAAAUUAACCGGGCGUGGAAUCACAUGCCUGUAAUCCCAGCUACUCAGGAGGCUGAGGCAGGAGAAUCUCUUGAACCUAGAAGAUGGAAGUUGCAGUAAGCUGAGAUGGCGCCACUGCACUCCAGCCUGGGCAACAGAGUGAGACUCCAUCUCAAAAAAAAAAAGGUCUGUGCCAUCCCUUAACAAAACUCCUAUCACUUGCUCUUCAUCUUCCAUGUGCUAUGCACCCUAUACCCCACUAUAGGCACUUAUCUAAACACUCCUUGUCUUUUCAUAUUUAUUUAUUCACAUGUCCCAUAAUUUUUUAUUUGAUAUCAUCUAUGAACCAGGCCCUGUGCUCACUGCUGGGAGAGAUAAACAUGAAUCAGACCCUGGCCCUGCACUCUGGAGGAUGAAGUCUGUUCUUCAUGUUGUUGCUAUUCUGCCAUUUUGAUAUACCCUUUUCCAUCAGAAAAUGUCUACUCUCAUAAAUAGAAAGUCUUAUAUUUUUCCCACAUAUCAGUGCAUCAUUUUAUGUAUGCACUCCUUGGAGUUCAUACAGUGCACUUUGAAGACAUCUGGACUAAGACCCAGAAACAGGAAGUAAAUAGAGUUUUUUGGUUGAAAGUGACAGAAAACCAAUUCAAACAAGUAGGAAAGGGAAUUUAUUGGUUCACAUAAGCAGGAAGUGCCGAGGUAGAUUAGAGCUGACCUUAGAGACUCCAAGAACACAUCACCUGUCACUCCCUCUGUCUGCCUCCUCAGGCCUUCUACCCUGAUGACUUCUAUUGCAGAGAUGGGUGAAGAGUAGAUGGUAGAUCUGGUGGCAGAAAGCUAUGAGCUUAUGUCAAUCCAGCCUAGUGAUGCCCCUGGAAAAAUAUGUUCUUUCCUAGCAUUCAUCUAAAAAUCUUAAGAAAUGGUUGUCAUUGACCCAAUUUGGAUAAUGUAUUCAUUCCUGAACCAGUAACUGAGGCAAGGGGAUGAAGAGCUCUGAAGGGAGAGGCUUGAAUCACAUACUCAUCCCUGUGGUCUGGAGGGCACUGUGACUGGUAACUGAAGAAGAACCACAUGGAAUUGGGGAGGAGCAGUUCUCCAAAGGAAGGAACAAAGAUAACAAUGACAGCAGACUACUCAUCAGAAACUAUGCAAGCUGGAAGACAAUGAAACAUCUUUAAAUGCUGAAAGAAGAAAACCCCAAAAACCUAUUAACCUAGAAUUAUGUUCACAGUGAAAGUACCUUUCAAAAAUUAAGAUGAAAUAAAAUUUUUUUAAAAAUGCAAGCUAAAGUAGUAGAAUUUGUUGCCAGCAGACUUGCUCUAUAAGAAACAUUAAAGGAAAUUCUUUAGGAGAAGGAAAAUGGUAUCAGGUAGAAACUUGGAUCUACAGAAAGGAGUGAAGAAAGCAGGAAAUGACAGAGAUGUGGGUAAAUAUAAAAUAUGUUGAUUGUGUAAAGCAAAAGUAAUAAUGAUAUAUUUGGCAGUUUAUAAUACAUGUAGAAAGUGUAUGAUGACAACAGCACAAAGGAUAAGAGGGAAAAAUGGAAGUAUGUUGUAAGGUUCUUAAGGUAUACAUGAAGUAUAUAAUAUAUUAUUAUAAUCUUAUUUGAUGAUAGACUGUGAUAAGUUAAGCAAGUAUAUUGUAAGCCCUAGAGCAACACUAAGAGAGUAAUGAAGAGGCAUAGCGACUAAGCCAAUAAUAGAGAUAAAAUGAAAUCUUGAUGUUUCCUUCUGUGUGUAGGGACCCCAUUGGUAUAACACACCUGGCUUCUCCCUGCUCUCUCUUUCAUUCUGCUCCAGCGAAUAUUGAGUGACUUAUCUGAUUGGUGAGUUUGGCAGUAGCAGUCCAGGCUACUGGGUAGCUCACCCCAUCCUUGGGUACAAGCUACCUGAAACGUAAACACAUUUCUGCUCUGCCCUUGUGAGCAGGAGAGGCUAGUGAUGGUCCAGUGUUGCUUAUGACCUAUGGGCAUGUCUGACUAAUUCUAGGUUUCCAUGUUUAACAGUCUGCUUGCCUGCAGCCAUGAGCCAUGUUCUUCAAAGUCAGCCUCAUUGGUAGCAAAUGUGAUACUUGGUCUCUAUCUGCCUUGCUUCUUUGUCUAAUUUCUUAAUUGGUUUAGAAAUCAGUAUUUAUGGAGAUACUUCCCCCACUACAAUGGCUGGCUUGACUGCCAGCUCCUGGAUAGGAAAAGGAUACUGGACUCCUCUCCUACCUGCCAUAUGUGAUUGACCAUGGGAGCUUGAGCAUGGGGUCCUGGAAGGGGAAGGGAUCGAUGGUAAGACAAGGUAAAGAGAAAUAUUAAUGCACAGGUGCCCUGUGAAGUGUGCUGGACCUCUGGGCUCAGAAAGGACCAAGGGAGCCUCAGGCGAGCCCAGUGGGGAGGGACAGCCUCAGCUUUCCUCCUCUUACUCCCCUGCUCAGAUUCUACAAUAUCUCUGCCCCACUCAGCCAGGCAAGUUAUGGCAAUGGCACAAGCUGGGGGAAGAAGAUCUGGAUUCCUUGCCUAGCUGGGCCACUAAUUUUCUAUGUAAGCCUAACUGAGUUAUGCUCCUCCCCACUCCCACCUCCGCAUUCUGGCCUCAGUUUCGCCAUCUAGAACAAAGAAAUUGUGCUAAAUAAUAUCUUGUAGUGGUUCCUUCUGGCCUUUACGGUUUCCUUAUCUAGAUCAGAGACUCCAGCCUAGGGCUACUUACAGACUUACUUUGUUUGGCCCACGCUGUGUUCUUUUUUU
rnacentral:lncRNA from 1 species